UACGUAGGGUGCAAGCGUUGUCCGGAAUUAUUGGGCGUAAAGAGCUCGUAGGCGGUCUGUUGCGUCGGAUGUGAAGGCCCGGGGCUCAACCCCGGAACGGCAUCCGAUACGGGCUGGCUCGAGACCGAGAGAGGUGAGUGGAAUACCCAGUGUAGAGGUGAAAUUCGUAGAUAUUGGGUGGAACACCGGUGGCGAAAGCGGCUCACUGGCUCGGUUCUGACGCUGAGGCGCGAAAGCGUGGGGAGCAAACAGG
rnacentral:rRNA from 1 species